rnacentral:rRNA from 1 species
UGAACGCUAGCGACAGGCCUAACACAUGCAAGUCGAGGGGCAGCGGGAUUGAAGCUUGCUUAAUUGCCGGCGACCGGCGCACGGGUGCGUAACAGGUGUGCAAUCUGUCCAUAGUCGGGGAAUAGCCCAGCGAAAGUUGGAUUAAUGCUCCAUGUGAAGUGAUACCGCAUGAUAUUGCUUUGAAACGUAAGGACUAUGGGUGAGCACGCUUCUGAUUAGAUAGUUGGUGAGGUAACGGCUCACCAAGUCGACGAUCAGUAGGGGUUCUGAGAGGAAGGUCCCCCACAUUGGAACUGAGACACGGUCCAAACUCCUACGGGAGGCAGCAGUGAGGAAUAUUGGUCAAUGGGCGAGAGCCUGAACCAGCCAAGUCGCGUGAAGGAUGAAGGUUCUAUGGAUUGUAAACUUCUUUUGUCCGAGGGUAAAAAAGGCUACGUGUAGCUUCUUGCAAGUAUCGGACGAAUAAGCAUCGGCUAACUCCGUGCCAGCCGCGGC